AACAGCAACGCCUUGAAAUCACACAUGCACCGUCACAUGGUCCCGGGUGCUGUCGGUUGGUCCCGGCGGUCGGAUCCAUGGGGUGCGUGGAGGCCUAACC
rnacentral:sRNA from 1 species